CUUGAAGGCAGCUACACUCGUCAGUUGUCGCUAACAGCUUACUAAAUGUCAGAAAGAGAUGGAAAUGUUCUAAAUUAGGACACCACUCUUAAUCCCUUACAAGAUAAAUUAGAAUGCAUACAUUUUUAUAGAAAAAAAUACUUCAAGAAGAUAACAUAAGUAUAUAACAUUCAAAAUCUACGCCUCCCUUGGUAGAAAUAGUUGAAAGAUCACACUCAAAAAAAUAGCUAAGGUGCCAUGUUGAAAGCAGCUGAAAUGUGAUUGCUGGUACGUGAAAUCAUUUCAGUAAGGGAUUUAUUUGAGGACUAGGGAGUGAGGAAUUAUAGACAUAAUGCACAAGUCAACAUUGUUAGAGUCAACUCAUCAUCUAUGCUAACAAUAAUGUACAGCAGGAAAGAUAAUCCAAAAAUCUUUUACAUUGCUUUUGUAUUAUAACAUUAUUUGCAGUAGAUUUAUUUUCUCAGUUUUAUUUCAGAUUUGUUUGCUUUUCUGUGUAUUCAUUACCUGAUAGAUGGGAAAAAAAGAUACCCAGUAGCAUCCUCAAGGGCACAGGGAAGCCAGGGAGAUAAAAUUUCACCAGAGAUAAUCUACAAAAUAAAUUGUGUCUGCAAGUGAGUGGGAGGCAUUUGGAGUGAAGCCAGUCACAAUACUUGAUGGCUCUGCAGUCUUAUCAGUCGCCCUACAGGUGGCCUGGGGAUAAAGCAUGCUUGCAAGAACACCUACUCACUACUGUUGCUCCCCUGUUCCCCAGGCCCACUCCCACCACCCCAGAGAAGUUGAGGUUAGAGCAUUGUGGAUGACAGGCCUCAAAAAAGGAGCAUCCUUUCUGUGGUCCAGUGAUUUAACAUGGCCCUUUAAAAAAUGUUUUGGAAGAUGUGUCCACCAGCUGCUAGAUCAGAUACACGUUUUUCUUCAUCAGCUGAAGCACCAACAUCCUGGUCAAGCAUGGAUCAGCCCAUAUCCUGUGGCAUUUGCUUCCAAACAUCAACUGAAGCACAGGGAAAUUUGCAGUGUUUUCAACAGGAAUCUACCCUUUGGAAAUAAAAGUACCAAUAUAAAAGGAUGCCAAGAACUGUAAAUGAAGUGGAAGUCCACCAGUGAGGGUGGAGUGCUGAGUUGUGGCAGGCUCAGGCAAUACCACACAGCCCUUGAAAAGCAUGGAGUAGAGCAACACAAGAUGAUCUGGAAGGAGCCCAUAAACAACCUUUGAAGAAGAAAAGCCAGAAAGACAAAAAAAUCUAAAAACAGGAAAAAAUGUGUAGAAUAUAAUUUGUUCCCAUUUUUUAAUUUUUUUAAAGAUUUUAUUUAUUUAUUCAUGAGAGACACAGAGAGAGGCAGAGACACAGGCAGAGAGAGAAGCAGGCUCCCUGCAGGGAACCCAAUGUGGGACCUGAUCUUGGGUCUCCAGGAUCACGCCCUGAACCAAAGGCAGACACUCAACCACUGAGCCACCCAGGUGUCCCUUGUUCCCAUUUUUUUUUAAAAAAUUGUCCAAAAAGUCUGCAUGUUACAGAUACAUAGGUAGAUAUAAUACACUGUAUAGAAUUACAUGAAUACUGAUAAAUAUAUAAGCAGACAUUCGCUAAGGAUUAACAGGGAC
rnacentral:lncRNA from 1 species